rnacentral:rRNA from 1 species
AACGAACGCUGGCGGCAUGCCUAACACAUGCAAGUCGAACGAAGCCUUCGGGCUUAGUGGCGCACGGGUGCGUAACGCGUGGGAAUCUGCCCUUUGGUUCGGAAUAACAGUUGGAAACGACUGCUAAUACCGGAUGAUGACGAAAGUCCAAAGAUUUAUCGCCAGAGGAUGAGCCCGCGUAGGAUUAGCUAGUUGGUGUGGUAAAGGCGCACCAAGGCGACGAUCCUAGCUGGUCUGAGAGGAUGAUCAGCCACACUGGGACUGAGACACGGCCCAGACUCCUACGGGAGGCAGCAGUGGUGAAUAUUGGACAAUGGGCGAAAGCUUGAUCAAGCAAUGCCGCGUGAGUGAUGAAGGCCCUAGGGUUGUAAAGCUCUUUUACCCGGGAUGAUAAUGACAGUACCGGGAGAAUAAGCCCCGGCUAACUCCGUGCCAGCCGCCGCAGUAA